UGAAUAACAACAACGGAUGCCCCAUAAGCAGCCUAUCAGGAAACGUCAGCCAGCUGGAAAAUACUUGAUGCAAAUGCCCCUGCACUCCAAAAGCUGCUCCGGGACCACUGCCCUUCAGCAAGCCUAAUCCAAGGGGGAACACACAGCGAGGAAAGGGGACUGCAGCUCAGGAGCAAAGCUGUGAUGGAUGGGAUCAGCCUGGAGCAAACAGAACAGCGAGAGCCAUGCUGCCUGUACAAGGCUGGAUCCCUCUCCCCACCAAUUGUGUUGAGAACUAGAAGUCUAUCACCUCAGCCUAAUGGAGCAUCAUCAGCUCACCUCAAUGAGGCACUUAAUCGAAAGAGCAUUUAUACCACUUGGAUUGCCAGCCGCACUUUAUGACAGCUCUUUGCACAAGAGAUGUCAUUGUGCAUUUACUUCUUUGUUAGACUAGAUUGGAGUUAUCAGCGGUUGAGUAAACCCUGCCAUUCGCAGGAACACCCUGCAUACGUUUGCAGGACAGAAAGGAACAGAAGAGGAAAAAGGACAGAGCUGAUAGAGGCAGGCGUGACUUGAACAACAAGGAGGAAAACAACAAAGCACGACAAGAUUUUGAGCCAUACCGUCAGCUGAUGUCAAUGCCCAGGAUGCGAAAAAUAAGUAAUUGACAGCAGUUAGCAUGCAGGACAGACCACAGUUCUGAACGCAGUGAGAUUUUCUGUGUAGCUCUCUGAUUUCAGUCCUUGUUCCUGCCCGUCGCUCAGGUAACAAGCUGUGGCUGACAGCCUUGCAGUGACCCCCUCGGUUUCUGGGGCUGCGGUGGCAGUGUCCCAUCUUCCUGCAGCAGCACAGGGCCAUGCUGACCCACAGCAUCCUCCGAAACACCCCGACGCAACACAGGCUGCCACCCGAAUUCAACUGUAAAUACUUUAUUU
rnacentral:lncRNA from 1 species